UACGGGGGGGGCAAGCGUUGUUCGGAAUUACUGGGCGUAAAGGGUUCGUAGGUGGCCGACUAAGUCAGACGUGAAAUCCCUCAGCUCAACUGGGGAACUGCGUCUGAGACUGGCCGGCUUGAGUGCAGGAGAGGAACGCGGAAUUCCAGGUGUAGCGGUGAAAUGCGUAGAUAUCUGGAGGAACACCGGUGGCGAAGGCGGCGUUCUGGACUGCUACUGACACUGAGGAACGAGAGCCAGGGGAGCAAACGGG
rnacentral:rRNA from 1 species